AGUGAACGCUGGCGGUAGGCCUAACACAUGCAAGUCGAACGGCAGCACAGUAAGAGCUUGCUCUUACGGGUGGCGAGUGGCGGACGGGUGAGGAAUACAUCGGAAUCUACUUUUUCGUGGGGGAUAACGUAGGGAAGCUUACGCUAAUACCGCAUACGACCUACGGGUGAAAGCAGGGGAUCUUCGGACCUUGCGCGAUUGAAUGAGCCGAUGUCGGAUUAGCUAGUUGGCGGGGUAAAGGCCCACCAAGGCGACGAUCCGUAGCUGGUCUGAGAGGAUGAUCAGCCACACUGGAACUGAGACACGGUCCAGACUCCUACGGGAGGCAGCAGUGGGGAAUAUUGGACAAUGGGCGCAAGCCUGAUCCAGCCAUACCGCGUGGGUGAAGAAGGCCUUCGGGUUGUAAAGCCCUUUUGUUGGGAAAGAAAAGCAGCAGGUUAAUACCCCGCUGCUCUGACGGUACCCAAAGAAUAAGCACCGGCGAACUUCGU
rnacentral:rRNA from 1 species